rnacentral:misc_RNA from 1 species
UCCUCUCUCAAACCCCCGGGUUUGGUGUUGGACCGCGUUGGCGACCCUCCUUCCGGGGAGGCGAUCAACUGGUCUCAAAGACAAUGACGGCGUCCGUGAGACCCUCUUCGCACUGAGCUUUCCGGAGCACGCGUCGAGUUUUCAAGGUCCCAGGGGCCCGGUCAUCCUUUUAAUUUUCUCA